GACGGAUUGACCUGAAAUUUUCACCAGAGGUGCGUCUCAGCCCCAGAAAGAUCCCAUUACAUUUUGGUGGUGAUCCGGAUCGCCUUCUGGAUCCAGGAAUUUUUUGAAGGAUUCUUUAUCAUUGUGAGAUAGGGCAAAUUUUGGAAUUUUUGCAUUUAACUCUAUAAAAAUGUCCAGAGUCUUUAGUAAAAAAUGACACAAAAGGAUCUCAAUGAGUUUUAUGAGGUGUCAAAGGUUGAUCCUGAUCCAGACAAAAUUCCAGAUACUGUGAUCCAGAACACACAAAAAUAAGGGUGUCAUUGG